CAGACCUCGCCCUAUGCGUCUCUUCCAUCUGCUGUUCCUGAGUUAUAUUCGUUCAUAAUAAACCUGUGAUCUGGAAGACUCAAGUGGUCUCUGAAUUUUUCCUGGAAAACAAAAGUGGCCUUCAGAGGUCAAGCGGAGAGAAGUGACCGGAAUUUGCACUGCAUGAGCAUCGCUCCAUUCACAGGAAGAUAAUCAGUGGCUAUUUGGGGUUACCUGUCACGGGGGGACGUUUGCCAGAAGGAUCGGGGUCCCUGAGAGCCUUUUCUUUUGUGGCUGAAGUUAAAAAACAGCUGGAGGACGAGCGUCCCCGCUCAGCUGAUGUCGCAGUGUUGAAUAACUUCGUCUCAGGAGGUGAACACUCCGCGUUGCAAAAGUGACUGAAGCUUCAGUUCACAGACCGGAGUCUGGUGAGGGCGGAAUCCAAACUGUGAGAGGGUGACCCUCAUGUUGAGCAUCUCCCGGGCGCAGUCCUGUCUGCAGCUGGAGCGGUGGCGCCUCAUGCCUGUGCCUUCGUCAUCCCAGCAGAACCCAGGAGGGGAGCGCUGUUCCUCCUGCUGGGACGGUGUGGGCAGUCCUGCGUCAAUCAGCGCCUCAAAACCGGCAGCAGAGCCAGCGUCUGCCCUGCGUUCCUGCUUCAGAGAGGACGUCGCCGGGGCCUGGGGAGGCCACCGUCACCCGGAGCGAAGGUGAGACUGGAAGGCAGGACCCAGUGGCCCAGACGCUCCAGCAGUGUGGCCCUGGCGACCUUCCCUGACCUCCCGUCCUGGCAGCUUCCUUGCAGGUGAAGAGUCUGUGGCAAGCCUGCUCUGAUGCCCGCCACGGUGUCCCAUCCGCCUGCGGUAGGCCUGUGUGGGUUUCAGGGAAAAGCCAGCGUGGACGUCUGUCCCGAGCAGAAGUGACGUCUCCCUGGCCGGGGCCCCUGUCCUUCUGCUAAAUCAACAGCUGAACAAUUGGAGAAAUAAAUACGAAAUGAAAUGCAUGUUUUCCCUGCAAGCAAAUACACAGUAGGAAAAAAGACUUAUAAAGAAAAAAAAAAUAACCAAA
rnacentral:lncRNA from 1 species